GUCUCCAUCGUCCAGAGGCCUAGGACCCCAGGUUUUCAACCUGGUAACAGGGGUUCGAUUCCCCUUGGAGACG
rnacentral:tRNA from 3 species